rnacentral:rRNA from 1 species
CACGUAGGGCGCAAGCGUUGUCCGGAAUCACUGGGCGUAAAGGGCGCGUAGGCGGCUCAUGAAGGCUGUGGUGAAAGUCCGGGGCUCAACCUCGGAUCGGCCGUGGCGACUCGUGGGCUGGAGCACUGUAGAGGCGGGUGGAAUUCCGGGUGUAGCGGUGGAAUGCGUAGAGAUCCGGAAGAACACCAGUGGCGAAGGCGGCCCGCUGGGCAGUGGCUGACGCUGAGGCGCGACAGCGUGGGGAGCAAACAGG